rnacentral:rRNA from 1 species
GACGAACGCUGGCGGCGUGCUUAACACAUGCAAGUCGAACGGAAAGGUCCUUCGGGGUACUCGAGUGGCGAACGGGCGAGUAACACGUGGGUGAUCUGCUCUGCACUUUGGGAUAAGCCUGGGACACUGGGUCUAAUACCGAAUAGGACCACGCGCUUCAUGGUGUGUGGGGGAAAGCUUUUGCGGUGUGUGAUGGGUCCGCGGUCUAUCAGUUUGCUGGUGGGGUACUGGCUUACCAAGGCGACGACGGGUAGCCGGCCUGUGAGGGUGACCGGCCACACUGGGACUGCGAUACGGCCCAGUCUCCUACGGUAGGCAGCAGUGGGGAAUAUUGCAGAAUGGGCGCAAGCCUGAUGCAGCGACGCCGCGUGAGGGAUACCGGCCUUCGGGUUGUAAACCUCUUUCAAUGGGGACAAAGCGCAAGUGACGGUACCUAUAGAAGAAGCACCGGCCAACUACGUG